rnacentral:lncRNA from 1 species
AGUUUUAAGACUGGAAGAUCCUGAGGAAAGUCACUGCUCCCUGCCCUGGGUUCCCAUCCAGGCCACUUUAGAGGCAAGGCUGUACUGCUGAGAAGAGAUUCUAAAUCCAGCUGGAAAAUGUCCCUCAGCAGGACCCACAGAGGAUAACAUUGAAAAAGGCAGUUUGACCUCCAGGUGGAGAGGGACAAGGCCUACUGUGUGAAGAAGAUGGUGGCCUCAUUCCCCUGCAGCUACCAGCUCCACAAGACAGGACAGUGUCCCCAAGAUGUACGUCUCAGCCAGGACCCCCAGAGCAGCCAGAAAAAGAGAUUGAGAGAAGCACACAGCCCCUCCCCAAGAUCCAGAUGUCAGCCACCACACCUGGCCUGCCACACUUCCUUGAUGCUAUUGACAUUUAUAAUAGCAAGCAGGUUUUCUCCCUUUGGGUCCGGAGAUCAGAGUUCUUUGUUGGGAUUGAAAGCAUGAACGUGUCAUUUGAUGGGGCUUUGGACAGUGGUCAUGACGUGAAGAAUUAGGAAGCCAUAGGCUGGGAGGCAAGCCCAGGGACAUGACCUGCAGAGGAAGGCCCAUGCACCUGCCACCAGGCAUCGAAGACCUCAAGGCCAUUCUCCGGUGAACCCAGGGGUGACAGACUGAACAGUGAAUUGCCAAGACCGAGGGCUGAUCUGCUCUACAGAUGUCUCCUGCAGACUCCAAAGCAUUCUAUAACCUAUUCUAACCACGGCUCUGUGCGGGCUGUGGUGCUUCUGUGCCCUCUGCCCCUGGCACAGCAUGAGGCCGGCAGCUGAUUCAGCGCAUUGUCUGGAGACCCAGCAUGGUGCCAUCUCUGCUGACUUUCAUCUCUAUUGGCUAAGAAUCCUUGCCAACAGGGCCUCUGAAAUGAGGGAGGCACACACGGAUCUGCCCGGGAACGUGUGCUACAAGGUUAAGCGUGUUUGCCCAGGCGAGGCUGGGAGAUGGGCAGCUGACCGUGCACUUCCUGCUCUGUGGACCAGGCUGCACCUCAUGCAGAUGCCUGCCCUGUGUGUGGGGGAGCUGCAUGGAGCACAGAAAAAGCCCACUGGUGCCCUAGCAGACAGAGUGCCCCCAACCUCGUGGGGAUAAGGACACGGUUCACAGAAGCUCUGGCAUGCUAGCAACCUUUGGUGACUGUUUGUGUUCUCCAGGCCUGACUCUCAGACAAGGACAGGCUGUGACAUGC